AAAAGAAAAAGAGGGUUAACUAUGGCGGACAACUUCCAGAAGCAGCCCCUCUGCUCGCUCGUCUCCGACGUCGAGAGCCACCAUGGCGGCGACCCUCCCCGCCUUCCGUGCUCCUGAUUGUUCCCAUCCGAUCUCUUGCGUUAUUUCGGUGGAUGAAGGAAUCGAUUUCCCCUUCGUAUUUUGAGUCCGAUUGCAGCUACCGCGACGAUUCCGAUCUGUACUGAAUUGAUGGAUUUCAUGGUUGAAACCAAAGCGAUGGGGAAGAAUGGUAUCGGCCUAUGCGUCGUGCUUCGAGAAGCAGAAGGAAGUUCGAUGAAACCGAAGCCGAGAGUAUUACGAUCGUGGGGAUUCACAAGUCCGAGAUGGCCAAACUCGUGAUUUUGAACCCCUGACAAAAGGGGGGGGACCGCCACCUCGGCGAUACCGCUUUACUAUUUCGACCACCACCAGGAUGCAGGAUGCAGGAUGCAGGAUGCCGGAUGCCCAUCCAACUGCAGGAAACAUGUUAUGUGGUAAAGUAAGUAAAUCAUGUACUCCCUUUGAUAAAGCUGUUGACAACUGGUCACAGCGAUGGCCGUGGAAGUGGCAGGCACGAUCCCUUCCAACCAUAAAACUCAUUCAACUCAAACGUUAUCUCUGGCUGUUGGCUUCUUGAAAGAAAGAAAACCUGCAUGUAAUAUUUGUAUACACAAGUAAGUCUCCACGUCUCACCCCCUUCCCCAACUGAUCAAGCACGUCAUCAUCC